AGCAGCCGCGGUAAUUCCAGCUCCAAUAGCGUAUAUUAAAGUUGUUGCAGUUAAAAAGCUCGUAGUUGAAUUUCGGGGUUAGUAGGUUGGUCGUGCCUCAGGUAUGCACUGAUCUCACUGAUUCCUCCUUCCUGACGAACCGUAAUGCCAUUAAUUUGGUGUUGCGGGGAGACUGGACUGUUACUUUGAAAAAAAUUAGAGUGUUUAAAGCAGGCUAACGCUUGAAUACAUUAGCAUGGAAUAAUGAAAUAGGACGUUCGAUCCUAUUUUGUUGGUUUCUAGGAUUGACGUAAUGAUUAAUAGGGAUAGUUGGGGGCAUUAGUAUUCAAUUGUCAGAGGUGAAAUUCUUGGAUUUAUUGAAGACUAACUACUGCGAAAGCAUUUGCCAAGGAUGUUUUCAUUAAUCAAGAACGAAAGUUAGGGGAUCGAAGACGAUCAGAUACCGUCGUAGUCUUAACCAUAAACUAUGCCGACUAGGGAUCGGAUGAUGUAAUUUUUAAUGACUCAUUCGGCGCCUUAA
rnacentral:rRNA from 1 species